UUUUCAGUUGCCAGGGCUAAUGUUGCUGUUUGUUUCAAACAGCUUUUCCCUGUUCCUCAGCACAGCUGUCUCCUAUAGAAUCAGCCUCCAGGAAAACCCAUCUCUUAACCAAUCACACGUUCAGAUACCUCCCACCAAGGUUUUCUGCAUCUACAGCAUGAAGUUCUUGCACUUGCAGCCCAGAAGAACCUCUGUUCGUGUGAGGUGGUGGCAAACUUGUGGCUCUCUAACACAGAGGUAUGUCUAUAGGAACACAAAAACCUUUGGGUGGAGCAUCUCCAAGGGGCUUGGUUUGCACUCCCUUGAGAUCCUGGGCUCCCUGUGCAUGAGCUGCUCCAGGUUCAUUAGUUUUGCAGGCUUUUGUAAGAGGACAGAUCUUGUUGUAAGGGUCCUAUCAGAGCUCACGUUGGUGCUUUACUGACCUAAUUCCUCUUAGCUACUGAAGAACAGCAUUCCUUCGGUUACGUUUUCCUUGAUGGGCUUCAGCGUGAAGGUUUCAGACACGACGAGGAAUGAAUGAGUUGAAAGCAGAAGAUGUCAUGCAAUGGGUAAAUGACGAGGGGGAAAAAUUUAAUGCUCGGAAUCACAGGAAAUGAAAACCACCUCCGUUCAUCUGCAAACAACAAAUAACUUGCACUCCAGCAAGCAGUUUGUCUUAUAUUCUGGUUCACACCUGCAGCAGGGGCAAGAAGGGAAAGUACCAAACCCCAUUAUCCUCAGAGUAAGAGAUCAGAGGAAAGUAGAAAUUAUACAAUUUCCAUAUAGACGAAGCAGCCGAACGCGAUUUUGGCCAUCUUACAACAGAGCUCUGAAAAAUGCUGUGAAAGCUGUCAGCUGGGCUACAAAAUGCAUAACCCGGUAAGACUGUGCACAAAGGGAUGGGGAAAAGUGUCAAAGAAGAAAAGCCCAUUGCUGGACAGGCACUGCCAUGCAACGCCGCAUGCCAAGAACAAGAAGAGAAGAAGGAUCCCAGUAGAGGAGAGCUGGUGCCUGGGCUUGGCAGGGCUCAAGGUCACAUCAUCAGCAAGACCUGGCUGCAAACCUUUGUCUUCACUCAGACAGUCCUAACUGGUUUAAUCUGCUCUGUAUGUAUGCCCAAACAUCUUCCUCUUUUAGAGGAGUUUUAGAUCUGUCUUAGUGUUUUGAGCAUGCAAGCUUCCUA
rnacentral:lncRNA from 1 species